UGGGGAAUCUUGGACAAUGGGCGCAAGCCUGAUCCAGCCAUGCCGCGUGAGUGAAGAAGGCCUUCGGGUUGUAAAGCUCUUUUACCAGGGACGAUAAUGACGGUACCUGGAGAAUAAGCCCCGGCAAACUUCGUGCCAGCAGCCGCGGUAAUACGAAGGGGGCUAGCGUUGUUCGGAAUUACUGGGCGUAAAGCGCACGUAGGCGGAUUGUUAAGUCAGAGGUGAAAUCCCGGAGCUCAACUUCGGAACUGCCUUUGAUACUGGCAAUCUAGAGUCCGGAAGAGGUUAGUGGAAUUCCCAGUGUAGAGGUGAAAUUCGUAGAUAUUGGGAAGAACACCAGUGGCGAAGGCGGCUAACUGGUCCGGUACUGACGCUGAGGUGCGAAAGCGUGGGGAGCAAACGGGAUUAGAUACCCUAGUAGUCCCUGAGCGGGCUGGCAAGGCGCAU
rnacentral:rRNA from 1 species